rnacentral:rRNA from 1 species
UGUGUAGGCGGUUCUUUAAGUUUGGUGUGAAAUCUCCCGGCUCAACCGGGAGGGUGCGCCGAAUACUGAGGGACUAGAGUGCGGGAGAGGAAAGUGGAAUUCCUGGUGUAGCGGUGAAAUGCGUAGAUAUCAGGAGGAACACCGGUGGUGUAGACGGCUUUCUGGACCGUAACUGACGCUGAGACACGAAAGCGUGGGUAGCAAACA